GGUGGCUCAGUUGGUAGAGUGCUUGCCUUGCAUGCAUGAGACCCUGGGUUCAAUUCCUCAGUACCA
rnacentral:tRNA from 1 species